AGAUCCAGGGGCAAUGUAGCUGCUACUUUUGUCACUGCAUUGCUUGCUAAUCAUGUUCCCUGGAUAGAUUUGUCCUUUCCCUUCCAUAGCCCAGAUCUCCUGCAGCUGCAUGUUGGGUUUGAGAGGACAACCUUUCCAGACAAAGAUCAUUCUUUGUUAUGGGUACACACAUGGCUGGGUCCCCCACCAGAAACUUCUAAUAAGCCCUAAGGGUCCAGUUGUAGCAUAAUGAGAAGUGAAAUAGAAUCAUACUCCGAAAGUUGAGCUUUCAGUCUUGAGUUGUAUUUAGUGAUUGUUUCUGAAAGGCCUUCUGCUCUUC
ensembl:misc_RNA 7SK 7SK RNA